UACAUAUUUAAAUACCCGGACGAGACGCGCCGUACCCGGUUAAGACAAGACGACGCCAU
rnacentral:ncRNA from 1 species